rnacentral:rRNA from 1 species
AUUGAACGCUGGCGGCAUGCUUUACACAUGCAAGUCGAACGGUAACAGGCCUUCGGGUGCUGACGAGUGGCGAACGGGGGAGUAAUGCAUCGGAACGUACCCAGAGGUGGGGGAUAACGCAGCGAAAGCUGUGCUAAUACCGCAUGUGAUCUGAGGAUGAAAGCGGGGGACCGAGCAGCAAUGUUUGGCCUCGCGCCUUUGGAGCGGCCGAUGUCGGAUUAGCUAGUUGGGGGGGUAAAGGCCUACCAAGGCGACGAUCCGUAGCUGGUCUGAGAGGACGACCAGCCACACUGGGACUGAGACACGGCCCAGACUCCUACGGGAGGCAGCAGUGGGGAAUUUUGGACAAUGGGCGCAAGCCUGAUCCAGCAAUGCCGCGUGAGGGAAGAAGGCCUUCGGGUUGUAAACCGCUGUUGGCAGGGACGAAAAGGUGUCCGCUAAUACCGGGCGCUAAUGACGGUACCUGCAGAAUAAGCACCGGCUAACUACGUG